AACGAGUUCAUAAAGCAAGUCUUCUAAAUUUGUUCUAGGUUAAAUCCUACUCGUUU
rnacentral:tRNA from 2 species